UGAUAGCUGUUCCUCUUACUGCUUGGAGCCUAAGCAGUAGGAUUUGGUCUAUCAUAUACAAAGCUGGCUUGUCUUCACUCAGGGCACCAUGAGGAUAGGUGGGCUAUCCACACUAGUGCCUUCUGAUUUUUGCCAAGUCAAACAAUU
ensembl:snoRNA